rnacentral:rRNA from 1 species
UACGAAGGGGGCUAGCGUUGCUCGGAAUCACUGGGCGUAAAGCGCACGUAGGCGGCUUUUUAAGUCAGGGGUGAAAUCCUGGAGCUCAACUCCAGAACUGCCUUUGAUACUGAGAAGCUUGAGUCCGGGAGAGGUGAGUGGAACUGCGAGUGUAGAGGUGAAAUUCGUAGAUAUUCGCAAGAACACCAAUGGCGAAGGCGGCUCACUGGUCCGGUACUGACGCUGAGGUGCGAAAGCGUGGGGAGCAAACAGG